rnacentral:rRNA from 1 species
GACGAACGCUGGCGGCGUGCCUAAUACAUGCAAGUCGAACGCUUCUUUCCUCCCGAGUGCUUGCACUCAAUUGGAAAGAGGAGUGGCGGACGGGUGAGUAACACGUGGGUAACCUACCCAUCAGAGGGGGAUAACACUUGGAAACAGGUGCUAAUACCGCAUAACAGUUUAUGCCGCAUGGCAUAAGAGUGAAAGGCGCUUUCGGGUGUCGUUGAUGGAUGGACCCGCGGUGCAUUAGCUAGUUGGUGAGGUAACGGCUCACCAAGGCCACGAUGCAUAGCCGACCUGAGAGGGUGAUCGGCCACACUGGGACUGAGACACGGCCCAGACUCCUACGGGAGGCAGCAGUAGGGAAUCUUCGGCAAUGGACGAAAGUCUGACCGAGCAACGCCGCGUGAGUGAAGAAGGUUUUCGGAUCGUAAAACUCUGUUGUUAGAGAAGAACAAGGACGUUAGUAACUGAACGUCCCCUGACGGUAUCUAACCAGAAAGCCGCGGCUAACUACGUG